CUGACUAGGUGACUGGAUUGAGACCGCCUCCGUGACCUACUGAGACACCGACUGACUGAAUAACUAACCACCAACUGCAAGACAAUUAAAAUUGACCAACUGAUCUUAUUGAACCGUUUAGUCCGCACACAGUUCUCCGGACCUUUUCCAUAGUUCGCUGUUCACACAUGAAGAAUGCAGCAGGACAUUGUCUGGGUCAGACGUUCACGACCUCAGGGAAAAACAUUUGGGACGUUCAGGCAAGAGUGUGUCUUCAGCCAUCGCAGCUUCAUUUACAACCUUUGAUCAUCCACGGAGACCAUGACACGAGGAGACGGGCGAGUAGCAGCUGAGGGACGGAGGCUAAAAAACCAUCUGCUCCUCUGCUCGUCAACCACUUUUUUGAUGGUCUGGUCGGAGGAGCAUCACGCAGCUCGUGUUGGUUGGUGACCUUUAGGCCACGUUGAAAGGUCACCCAACCACGACGUCGACAGUUACCAUGACAAAACACCAAUCCAUCGGCGCCUCUGCAGGGAAACGCUGACGGAGGGAGACGAUAACAUGUUGCUACUGUGUCGUUCUAUUUUUAUUUCCGAACAAUGUCAGACCUGAUGUGAGGUUCAGGGACAGAUUCUUUCUCUAUCUAGUUUUAUUUUCUGUAUAUAUAUAUAUAUAUAUCUAUAUAUAUAUAUCUAUAUCUAUAUAUCUAUAUAUCUAUAUAUAGAUAUAUAUAUAUCUAUAUCUAAUGGCCUUUCUGUCAAAGGUUACGUUUAAACCACAGGACACAUCCCGCUCUGCUGAGUUGCUGGCUCAUAUCUGUUUUUCUGAAAAAAAUCCAUAUCCUUUCUAGAUUAUGAAACAUGAUAUCCAGAAACAAAUUAAUAUCCGUAUUCCAGUGAACAGAAGAUUUAACACAUUAUUUGCCAAUUAACACCAUGAAAAAAAACUACUUCUGAUCAUUUUCAUUGAGCAUGAGACGUCACAUUUAUUUCUCCUUCAUGUCACUGUGUGUGCCAACGUUUAGAUGAUUAUUAAUUACGCAAAAAUAGAAUUAGAUAAUUAAUUGAUCAAAAAAAGUACAUGACUAUUGUCUUGGUCAGUCUAAGUACAGGUUGCUCUCAGAUCUGUCUCAUUGAUGGACAGAUUUAUUUUCUCCAUUCACUAUCAUUGUAAAUUGAAAAUCUUUUAAUUGUUUAAAAAAAAAAAUUAGUAUCAGAACUACAAAUAUUUUAUUGAUCCUUGGGAGAAAAUUGCGUUUUAUCACAGUUGCUCCAACCAAGAAUAGAAAUACAAACUAACCUGUGUAGUUACUAAUGUAUAGUACAGUACAUGAUUACAACAGCUAAAAUAUAGGUAAAAAAAUAAGUAUAAAAAUGAAACAAAACAACAAAUUUGGGACCUUGUGAUGUGAGAUUUUAAUCGACCAAACAAUUCACGGAUUAAUAAAAAAAUAUAUAUCUAUAUCUACAGUCUGUGCUGGAAAACAUUAGACACAGUGGAUCUCAAUGCUACUUGUUCGCAGCCACAUCACACAUCAUGUGGUCUCUCCCAGCUGCUCGGUGAACAUGUGACCCUCUGGUACGGAACAGAGAACAGAGACGAGGGCCGUUAUCAUGACACUGCAGUGAGAGCGUAUGAAAAUGAUAAUCAUUAUGAACCGACGCGACAGCACUUCAAACCCUAUCUUGUCGCCAUCGGCCCCGUGUCACGUAUAGAUGCGUCUUUCAUUCUGCUCCACGUGAUUUGUAUAAUAGGAAAAUGCGCUGAGGAGCAGGAAGUGAUGUGAAGAGGCCACUGGCCCAAAAACGAAACUGCUGAGAUAAAAAAUAUGAAUUUGAAUGUUAAACAUGUUUGGUUUUUUUAUGUCUGGGUGUUUUCCGAUAUCAAAUUAUCAUCAGCAGCAGCACAGACUCUGGGAAAUGUUCACAACCGCUCAACGGCUCAAUGUGAAAAGAGGCAACCAAGGUCCGAAACCAGUCUACCGAGACUCUGACGCGAAGCAUAAACACGCUGCGAGUCCCAACGACAUCCAGCGGAACCGGAGGGAGGAGGCGCUCCGCAAUUAAUUGUGUUAAUACGUCGGACCCGGUCUCAACCGGUAAAGAACAAAGACACACAACUGACAUGAGAGAAGAGUAAAUGAGCUCACACAGCGAGCGCUAAUUGCCACAACAAAGACGCGCGCAGCGAGCGCUGGUUUAACAAUGUCCGCUGGUGAUGCGUCCGUAAGUGCUGCUAUCACUUUAGACAGCAGAGUGUGUGUGUGUGUGUGUGUGUGUGUGUGAGUGUGUGUGUGUGUGUGUGUGUGUGUGUGAGACGAAGCAUGCAGCCAUAUCCUAUAACUGCCGACGAUAAAACCCCUAAGAGGCUGACGCGGGACUCGCACAAAUCACUGGUGUCCGACGUAAAAAUAUUACAACCUGCUGCUGCAGAAACAUUUUUUGCUCUGUUCGAAAAUCGGGCCUGGCCAAAUUUUGACUCAGGCUUCCCGCUGUCAGAGACGAAGCAGCAGCACGUAAUUCAUUUUUCCGAUGACUGAGGCACGACGGCGUUGCCGGGAAAUGUGCCGUAAUAAAAACUUCCGAGGCACAGCACUGACCCACGGACGGUAAAUAAGUGAUGGACGACGACGAAAUGAUGGACCUCCUCUUCCUGCUACUGUACAAAAAAAUUCAGUAGUUAUCGUGGAUUCCAAAUAACAGUGUAAAACCAAACUUAACAGAAACAUGAAGACUGGAAAAUACCUAAACUUUCAGAAAAAUGUUGGAAGGGGGCGGGGUUUAUGAUCAAUACUGCAGCCAGCCACCAGGGGGCGAUCGUCAUGUUUUGGCUUCACUUUUUGGGAGCUAUCAAUUCGUCUUUUUAUAAUGUUCAACGUCUGGGAGGAGCUACCGGGCUGCUGAGUUUGUAUUCCUCUCCAAAAAGUUAGCCUAGCUUGCUAACAUGAGCAGAAAUGCUAACUUGAGUCCCAGCAAAAAUUUAUGAAACAUUAAUUUUUUUAUUUUUUCCUCGAGUCAAAACAGACACCAGCGAUUUAUAUUUGAUUAACUUAAUAACACUGAGAUUUUAUUUUCAGUUCCCCUUGACAACCCUUUUUUGGGAAAUGUGCUCAUUUGCAUGUGAAGUGUCACCGGUAGCGUCUGAGCUGAGCUGAAUGUGUAGCACAAUGGCUCAGUCAUGCAGUUUCUAUCGCCGCCCUGUUAAAAAACACCGCAGGAAUGUACCGCACCAUUUAAAAACUGUUUACCCAGCGACUGACACUCAGCACAACACAACACAACAACCAAGUCACUGCUGAGGAGGAAAAAAAACUUGACAGCUUGUAAGUGAAAAGGUCACGGGUUCGAAUCCCAGUGUGAAGACAAAGCUGCCGCACGAGUGAUUAUUCUCGCUUGGUCAGUUGUUGUAUUUACUAAAAGGGAAACUCCAGAAAAUUGUGAAGCCUCUAAUAUUACACAACAAAAGGACAAAAAGGAUCCACGUUACUAGGGCGGCAACUAACGAUUAUUUUCAUAAUCGAAUUAUCUGUCGAUUAUUUUCCCGAUUAAUUGAUUAGUUGUUUGGUCCAAAAAAUGUCAUAAAAAGUUGAAAAACGCAAUUGUGUUUCUAAAAACGCCAAGAUGAUGUUUUGUGCUCACACCAAAUAUAUUCAGCUUACUGUCACAGAGGAGCAAAGAAACCAGAACAUAUUCACAUUUAUGAAGAUUUUUUCCUCCAUGAAAACUACUUUUACUACUACCGAUUAAUCGAUUAUCAAAAAUAGUUGGCGUUUAAUCGAUUAACUUUUGCAGCUCUAGUUCAAUCUCUAGAUUUUAAUGCAUUCGGGCGUUGCUACCGUGUGAUUGACAGCUACCAGGGUCCAAUGGGUGCAGGCCACAGGUCUCGGUGGGCCGGCAGUGUCUCCUCGAGCUCUCAGUUACUUUUGGUUUUAAGAAAAACAAAAUGGGCGCUCGCCAAAACGCCAGUUCACAAACCAAUGACUGACGUCACGACGGGUUGUCGCCAGGUCAUAACUCCGAGGUUCACUUUCUUUGUCACGCUAUCAACACGACGCCAGAGUCAGUCUGUUGGAUGGUUCAUCUGCUGGAUGCACUUUUCGAGAGACGUUCAUGGUCCCCAGAGAACUGCAGGACGUUUUGUGACGUCCACAGAUUGACGUCGUUCAAGCAGCUAAACAGCAAAUCUCAAAGAGGUGGUCGUAAAAUUAGAAAGUUACAGGAGCUUAGAUUAGAAUUUGUGUUUUUCAAUAUCCCUGUUACAUGACCUCUGCAGCGAAGAGGUCCAGCGUGAGGCCGUGCAACAAUGGCGAGUCUGAACACACAACAGCUUCUUCUCACACACGGAGUAGAAAACGGUAUUAGCCCUGUAGACACACGGUGGCACAAUGUGACUCGGGGCUUCGCUCACGUUGUUGUUCUCCCGCCAUCGCACAAUGGACGCCACUGUAGCUCCCGAGAGCCGGGUUCGUCACGUCCUGAGGUCUGCGUCGAGUCAGCGGAAUAAACGGCAGCCGCCGAUGUAGCGACCACAUCCUGUUUUCUUUUCAGAUUAACACCGAGCCGCAGCUCAGAGUCAAGGGCUUUUUAUAUUUACUGAUGACAUGUCUUGAGAAGAUGGUGCGUGUAUUUUUUGGAAUGGUUCACAUUAGAAUUUGCGUUUGAAGAUUGGAAGAUUUCGCGAUUCCGAAACAACUCCUUAAACAAAGUGACGAGGAACAUCCCUAACCAACCUACCACCGACCACCACCCCACUCGUAGUGACUUACCCCCCCGAGUAACAUCUAUAAAUUCCUCAGUGAAAAACCCUAAAACUGAAUAAUGUUCUGAGAUUCUGAUGUGUUUUUGUAAUUUUAUGUUGCGGCUCCUCUUCUGCUAUUAUCCUGAAAGUUUCCCAGAGUAAUGUCCUACGAAUAAAUCAUGCAAAUUUACAGGAAAUGACCUUUUUUUUUUUUUUACGAGUUAUUAGCAAAAGGUCCCGAGGCGAGAUGGAAGUCAGGCCAGGUUGCAUUGCUGUCAUUGCUCCGCUCGUUGCUGUUGCCUUCUGCCGCCACAGUUGCGUUGCGGAGCAGCCGUUUGUGAAGAACGCAAAUGUCCGUGAACGUUGCCCCCGGUGUUUCUCGUAACUUCUCCUGACAGCCCCCUUAGUACAGCUUCAGCAAAAGUGAGAGCACAGGAAGCAACAUAUCCGGAAGAUUCUCGCUCUACCCAGGAGCCGGCCCUGGACCCAGAUGUUCCGACAAUGUUCCCGUUGUUGCUUAUGCGUGAACGUCAAACUCCGGAAAAUGUCCAGACACGUUUUUCAGAGUUCAUGCUUGAAAAAAAAAAACCUUCAGACUGUCGAGAUAAUCUGCAGGACUUUACUUACAAACAACUUGGAGACUGUAAAUGUUGAAAUCAAAUCAUUGCAGAUUCAAUAUGUGUUCCUUUCAAAUGUUUUAAUGAAUAAACAAAAGCUCGAGCUCUAUCUGUUGGUGUGAUAUUCGUGGUACCCGGAGGAUGAAGCCUUGUAAAACAUUUGGUGAUCUCUUUGACUUUUCAUCUAGAGGCAUCAUAAGGUCAAAAUCUCAAUUUGUCCCCGACUGGUUCAUCGACUCAACUCCACGUGAUCCCCGAUGAUUUAAACAUCAACCAGGCUGCAGCUGCGACCUCGUCGAGUGACUCCCAGUGGACUCGGCUCUACACGAACUCAGACAUGAAUAAUGGAUCCCUCCUCCCCCUCCUCCUCCUCCUCCUCCUCCUCCUCCUCCGGACCUACCAGAGAGAAGGAGGCCGACCGCCGCCGCAGCCUGGGAACCUCCACUCGUGUGGAAGUAAAACAAUCUCUGAGACGCGAACGAGGACGAGACGCUGAGACGGACACGCAACGAGAGAGAGCGAGAGAGAGAGAGAGAGAGAGAGAGAGAGAGAGAGAGAGAGGAUACUACUGUGGACGG